AAUGAUUCAAGAGGAGAGGUGCAAUUCCUUACCGGUGGUAUAGUCCACAACUCCCCUAGGGACUGAUAUGGCGAAAUUCCAUAACCGACGGUGAUAGUCCGGAUGGUAUUCGAAUCAAG
rnacentral:ncRNA from 2 species